rnacentral:lncRNA from 1 species
GUGAGGGGGAGAUGGGGAGAGACAGCCCUUGUCCGCUCUCUGCUCUUUCUGCUCUUUGGGCAUAAAUAGCACCAGGCUGAGUGAGUGUAUUUUGCAGCUAGCCCAUCCUGCAACUCCUGCUUCCCUCCCAGAUUUCAGCUCUCAGUGGCAUCAGUCGGCUUUUCAGUUGACAUGUGGAAUGGUCCAUCAUCUGCCGUAUAGAAAAUGCAGCCAGUCCCAGGGAUGUACUUUGGGAUUUUUUUUUUUUUUUUUUUAACAGAGACUCUUAAAAGUGGGACUUGGGAAGGACUAGGAACCGUGAGGACGUGGGUUGGAUCCCUGGCCUGGCUCAGUGGGUUAAUGAUCUGGCGUUGCUGUGGCUGUGGUGUAGGCUGACAGCAGUAGCUCCGAUUAGACCCCUAGUCUGGGAACCUCCAUAUGCCACGGGUGUGGCCCGAAAAAAAAAAAGCAAAAACAAAACCAAAAAAAAAGUAGAACUUGGAAGACAGAAGGAGCCACGUGACUAGGGCCUUGUUUCAUUUCUGAGCUGUUUUGAGGGAACUCUUGAAACUUCCUUUCUUUAGGGGAACCACCUGGCCACUGUGGGGAAAUCAUUGUGAAUAAAUGAUUUAUAGGGAAACCUCAUCAGAGCUGCAGAGAUUUCUCAGGUCCUUUGCAACCUUGGACUCUAAAGACAACCGUUGCAAAUGUUGUGCUGUCUCUUUGAGGUUGUUUGGGGACCAUUUCCUCUUGAUACCACAGAGUCAUUCCUAACUUUUGAGGUCAGUGUUAGGUCAAAAGGUACUGCAUUUAGGCGAGGGAUGGGUCCACCAGUUUCCUGCAAAGACAUAAACUGCACAGUGUUUUUUAAACUUAUGUUUUAAAAUAAAUGCCGAAAAUAAGUAGAUCUUUAUAUAAAUAUAUAUUUAUAAUGUUUCCAUACUCAGCUACAAUUUCCCCUGUGGUUGGAGGGGAGAAAGCAAAGCUAUUGGAGGGAGUAUAAAGCUUUAAAAGCUGAAUUUUCCAGAUAUUUUUAGGUUAAUUACCCAAAGCCUCAUCCAUCCUCAAGAUUUUCAAACUUUAUUUUUUUUUUUGUAAAUGAAUGGGCAUUGUGUUUAUGGAUUUUAAAAAUACGAUUGUUUUAUUUAAAUGCCAUGCUGAGCAGUUGUUCUCUGUUCAUGGUAACCAAAACCUGAAGCGAUUUCGAUCAGUUUUGAUCACUGUUUAGUUAUCCAAAACAUGUACUGUGUACAAAUGAAAUAAUAUGGCAUAUUAGCCAGGUUUCAUGGUUGCCCAAGGCAUUUAAUGGAAGCUCAGUUUUGUAUUUUAUUAAGGCUCCAGCAUAUGCUUGAUCUGAAAUGUGUACAUUUUUGGUGUAUACUUGGUACUAGAGAUUCCUGUAUGCAAAUAUCCUCAUAUAUAAGAAGGCUCAACAUUGUUCGUGCUUUGAAANGCUUUGAAAAAAAAAAAAAAAAAAAA